rnacentral:rRNA from 1 species
AGGACGAACGCUGGCGGCGUGCUUAACACAUGCAAGUCGAGCGAGGCCCUUCCUUCGGGAAGGAGCCCUAGCGGCGAACGGGUGAGUAACACGUGGGCAACCUGCCCCUAGCACUGGGAUAACUCCGGGAAGCCGGGGCUAAUACCGGAUAUGACCUUGGAAGGCAUCUUCCUUGGUGUAAAGGAUUCUGGCUAGGGAUGGGCCCGCGGCCUAUCAGCUUGUUGGUGGGUAAUGGCCUACCAAGGCGACGACGGGUAGCCGGCCUGAGAGGGCGACCGGCCACACUGGGACUGAGACACGGCCCAGACUCCUACGGGAGGCAGCAGUGGGGAAUAUUGCACAAUGGGCGAAAGCCUGAUGCAGCGACGCCGCGUGAGGGAUGAAUGCCUUCGGGUUGUAAACCUCUUUCAGCAGGGACGAAGCGAAAGUGACGGUACUGCAGAAGAGCACCGGCCAACUACGCGCCAGCAGCCGCGGUAA